UAGGUCCAUCAAUGGCUAUUAGCCAGGAUGGGCAGGGAUGUCCCUAGCCUCUGUUUGCCAGAUGCUGGGAAUCAGCGACAGGCGAUGGAUCACUUGUUCUAUUCAUUCUCUCUGGGGCA